rnacentral:rRNA from 1 species
AGAGUUUGAUCCUGGCUCAGAGUGAACGCUGGCGGCAUGCCUAACACAUGCAAGUCGAACGAAUUUUUGACAGUGUAUCGUCAGAGUUAGUGGCAAACGGGUGAGUAAUACGUGGACAAUCUUCCCUCGAGCGGGGAAUAACUCCGGGAAACCGGAGCCAAUACCGCGUGAGACCACGUCUCGGCAUCGAGAUGAGGUUAAAGCUCCGCAAGGGGCGCUUGAGGAGGGGUUCACGGCCUAUCAGCUAGUUGGCGGGGUUAAAGCCCACCAAGGCUACGACGGGUAACCGGUCUGAAAGGACGGCCGGUCACAAUGGCACUGAGACACGGGCCAUACUCCUACGGGAGGCAGCAGUGGGGAAUUUUGCGCAAUGGGGGAAACCCUGACGCAGCAAUGCCGCGUGGAGGACGAAGGUCUUCGGAUUGUAAACUCCUUUUGUCGGUGAAAAAUAACCCUGUGAAGAACAGGGAAUGAUUGUAGCCGGCGAAUAAGCCACGGC